rnacentral:rRNA from 1 species
AUUGAACGCUAGCGGGAUGCCUUACACAUGCAAGUCGAACGGGGUGGCGAACGGGUGGGUAAUGUAUCUGAGCGUGCCCAGUAGCGGGGGAUAACUACGCGCAAGCGUAGCUAAUACCUCAUGCUAGUGGAGCGGCCGAUAUGGGUUUAGCUAGUUGGUGGGGUAAGGGCUCACCAAGGCGACGAUCCCUAGCUGGUUUGAGAGGACGACCAGCCACACUGGGACUGAGACACGGCCCAGACUCCUACGGGAGGCAGCAGUGGGGAAUUUUGGACAAUGGGGGAAAGCCUGAUGCAGCCAUGCCGCGUGUGUGAAGAAGGCCUUCGGGUUGUAAAGCACUUUUGGCAGGAAAGCGGUACCUGCAGAAUAAGCACCGGCUAACUACGUGCCAGCAGCCGCGGUAAUAC